GAGCAUUCCGUUUCAUUGUCAUGGAGGCAUAGUUCCGCUGUAAGGAUGUAGCCAGAUCAUUGUGUCUAUCUAGUCAAAGAUAUCAUGGAUCUCAAGAUUCAUUCAUCUGUUUAUUUGUUCAACAAAUAUUUGUCGAACUCAAGAAGCACAUAGAAGAAGAAAAGAGUUGAAGAAGCAGCCUGAAAAAAAGUGGCUAAAACAUCCACCAGACAAGAGUGAAUUCUACUACCUCGGCAGACUGUUGUCAGGAGACGAGCCAAAAGGCACUGAAUCUUAAAAGUUCUGCAAAUUGCCUAAGAACACACCAUGAGCUGUGGGAGCUAGGUUCCUUCUGAUGAGAAAUUCCAAAGCUGUCUACACCUACCAUAGUUAUGCAUGUGGGCUCCAGAAUGAGCAGACUUUCCUUCACAUCCCAGCUCUGCCAUUUUCCAGCAUCAUCUUCAACUGUACCAGUGGCAAUGGGUAAAUUAAUGAUCUGAGGAAGUCUGUGGAAGAAAAGCAAGUACCAGUUACCAAAAGCAAUGAAUGAGUUUUUACCAAAAAUUGGCACAGGACUAACCAUCACUGACACAAGUCUGGGAUCAUGUUAUUCUUCAUCUUACUUCUUUCCUUCAGUAUCUUUAUGUAGAUAAAGUCAGGGGGAAAUAACAACAGUAAAAACAAAAUGAAUAUACAGUGCUAUUACUUAGCUAUUACUUUAGAGGGAAAGCGAGUCUUAAACAGACAGCUCUAGCCUGGAUUUGGAUCCAAAAAGGCCCUUGUUCCUGCUUGACCCUAAUGUUAUGUGGAUAAGUCAAAAGGUCAUGUGAGGGACGCCCGGGUGGCUCAGUGGUGGGUUGCCUGCCUUUGACUCGGGUCGUGGUCCAGGAAUCCGGUGUCUCCCUCUGUCUGUGUCUCUGCCUCUCUCUUGGUCUGUGUCUCUCAUGAAUAG